UAGGAGGGCAGGCUCCCCCUCUACCUACAUUAGCCAAAAUACCAUCAGCAGUUUUUAAGUCAGAGACACCCACAGAGCCAUUAGAGAGCCCUGGCAGCAGGCCGGCCCAUUUAUUCUUCAGGUCAGCAUCGGGAACCAGAAAGCACCGCUGUUCCCUUGGCAGGGCUGGACUGCAGCAGUGCCCCAUGCCCAUGACAGCCUUGCAGCCCCCUGGAAAAGGGUCGAUGGAGGGGGAGAUGGUGCCUGCACUGACCCUGAGCCCACUGGACCGCCUACGAGCCUUGGUCUCCAUGCAGAAACAGGAACCUGGAUAAAUGCUGAAACGACCACAAUGUAGAGAUGAUAGUCAAGCAAAGAUACCCAGUGAUAAAAAUGAUACCCAAAGAUAACCAAUGAUAACCAAGCAAAGCACUGGUGCUUCAUACCGUGGCUGUCUACAGUCCUAAGACUUGCAGUUUGAGGUGGAAGUAGAUAUGUAGAGACCUCCACCAAUGAAGACCACUCCCAUCUUGCAUUUCUGCCCUACAGCAACCCUAAUGCAUCAGAAGAACUUUCCCAAAGAGGUUUUUUAAAACCAACCAAAUGCUCCGUUUUUUACUGGAAAUCGUGCAAUUCUGUUUCAAACCCAGUUACAGCACUUUGAGGUUUAAGCUAUUUUGCAGCCCUGGGGACCAGCAGGGCAAAGAGAAAAUGUCAAGAAUGCCAUGAAUUAAAUGCAUUUAGAUAUUUACUGUGGAUUAGGAGAAUCAGCACUCCACUCUGACAGGCUCUCUGGUCUUCACCUCUACGUUACCGGACCCAAAUACAGACAUUACUUAUGAUCGUGUCUCUCCUUAUAGAGUCUUGUUUAGAUGGAAGAAACCCUCUGGAGCAGAGGGCAGGACAGAAAAAGCAGCACACCCACACAACCUCGGAUUCAUGUGAUCAGUAUUAAUAUCCCACCCAGAUUUGGAUGCUUCAUCUGUGGCCCUGCGUCUGAGCAGCAGCUGGAACCGAAGUGCUGAGCAUGGCCAGACACCUAAAUCAGCUUUGGCCCUUCCAAGUCUUCCCAGCAUCGCUGCUUCUGCUACACCAUGCUGCGGAAGAGGGUUUACAGAAAGUAGGCAUGUAAAAUAUGCCAGGUAUUGAACCAGGAAGAAGCAGCGCCUUCAUUUUUCAUUCAAACUCCUUCUAAAAAAGGGAGAUCACUUUGCAAGAGUGAAGCACGCAGACAUUACUCAGACUGCGGCUGUAAUUUCCCCACUGCAGGCUGUGCCAGUAACCCCUUAGUGCAACUUUAGCAGGGUAUCAGAGGUGACGCGAGAUUUUACAAGAUCAAUAGCCUGGCUUUUAUUUCACAUCCUCCACACCCUGCACUGCCUCCACUAUUUCUCUGGUAAAUUCACUUUUGCUAGCAAUGAGCCCUGCAGCAACAUGCACUGGAGCAUUUCCCCCAUGCAAGAAUAAAAUACAUAUAACAAAUAGAAA